AGUGAACGCUGGCGGUAGGCCUAACACAUGCAAGUCGAACGGCAGCACAGUAAGAGCUUGCUCUUACUGGUGGCGAGUGGCGGACGGGUGAGGAAUACAUCGGAAUCUACUUUUUCGUGGGGGAUAACGUAGGGAAACUUACGCUAAUACCGCAUACGUCCUACGGGUGAAAGCAGGGGAUCUUCGGACCUUGCGCGAUUGAAUGAGCCGAUGUCGGAUUAGCUAGUUGGCGGGGUAAAGGCCCACCAAGGCGACGAUCCGUAGCUGGUCUGAGAGGAUGAUCAGCCACACUGGAACUGAGACACGGUCCAGACUCCUACGGGAGGCAGCAGUGGGGAAUAUUGGACAAUGGGCGCAAGCCUGAUCCAGCCAUACCGCGUGGGUGAAGAAGGCCUUCGGGUUGUAAAGCCCUUUUGUUGGGAAAGAAAAGCAGCAGGUUAAUACCCCGCUGUUCUGACGGUACCCAAAGAAUAAGCACCGGCUAACUUCGUG
rnacentral:rRNA from 1 species